CUCUGCACUUUGAUUCGUUCUAUUUUAAACUGUCUUCAAUUUCCCUCCUGGGGAAAGGGAGGAGGGAGGCUGGGGAGGUGGCAGUGGUGUGCAGAGAAUCAGGGGACUCAGGAGCUGUUGGAAAACCUGAAGCCAGUUGGCAGAGCUGUGCUGAAUUCUUAGGAUAGGGACAGGACAUUUAAGGUGAAAGCCGGGAGCUCGAGGCCUGGUAAAGAAGAAGAGGGUGGUUAGUGUGGCCAGAGGAAGGGCGCUGAGAGACCUCUGCCUAGGAGUAGAAAAGAACUCUGUGGCCUUGGUGUCUUACGUGGUCAUGGGGAUAAGCUUUGAGAAUGCAGCCUGGCACUUGAAAGAGAGAUGGUCCUGUUUUCUUAAAACAGAGCCCAGAGGGAUAAACAGAGAAGGUACAACCUGAGACGUGCACCAGAGACCCACAGCCAGUAUCACGGGAAGCAUGUCUGCAGUUGGAUGGGAAUUCCCAGCAAGAAGGCCUGGUUCCCGGUGUGGGUCUUUUCCCAGAAACCCAUUGGCCUGUGCAGGGCAUACACUUGCCUCUGGUAGCCUCACUGGCCAAGUAUGAGCCGACAAGCUUUUCUUUAGGACUGAGAUCUCACGUUUCGGGCCCCAGCAAGGAUGGUAUCCAAAAGGAUCCUUUGGUGGUUGGAGAGAGACAGCUUAGAGUCUGCAGUCGACAUGGCUUCUAAUCAACCCAAAUGUGUGAGCAUCGUUCGUGUGUGUCUCAGAUUCUGUGAGGGAGAGAAUGACUUAUUUAGGAUGUAAGGAUGCUACGGAUGCUGAGGAGGGUCAUGGAGUAGCUUCGGACCUCGGAUGAGUUACCAGCCUGCCUGGUGGCAGACACAGCCUCACAGGAAGACUUGGGACACAUUGUUGUCUGGACUGAAGCUCAGGGAGGAUCAUCUUCGACCCGCACUACUGAGACCAGGACCCAGAGUCUCCCCUCAGCCACCACCUCGUCCUCCUUUNGUCUGGAGCUCAGUGUGUGUGUGUGUGUGUGUGUGUGUGUGUGUGUGUGUGUGUGUGUGUGCCUACCAAAUAUACAUGUGGUGUUCUGAUCUCUGGCCAAGCAUCGCAGGGAGAGACCUUAACCCUGCUCCACAGAAAUUUGACUCUACACAGCAUGGAUCAACACAAGACCCGGACGAGUGGCCCCUAAGAGCCAUCUAGAAAGCAUGUAUCUUUCCAGGGUUCUGUUCAAAGACUUGACAAAAACCAACUAAAGUAAUCUUAUAGCAAUCUCAUGGAUCUGGGAAUCUCCACUGUGCAAGAGAGAAGUCCCAGAAUGCCAAGUCACACAUCCAAGAACUGGGGUCUGUCUCAGGGACACGGCUGCCUACGCUCUAUUCUCUGGAGCUCCCCAUCCAAAAUGCUCUCAGACUCUGGCACCCCAUUGGCUCUUCUCUCGCUUUCUGGUCUUUGUUAUUGAAGUGGUGGGUCAUAGGAAUGGUGUGAUGACACCAGGCUAUCCAGGGACAUCUCUGACUAAAAGGAGGAGUCCACCCAAUGACAGCAGAAGUGGGUGUUAUCUCAGCCUUGUGUCUUAAGUGACUUUGGGGACAAUGAUGGGAGGGAAGGCUCAAAGCAGAAGUCUUGACCCACUUGAAACAUGAAUAGAACUGAAGAGCAGAGGCAGUGGGGGGAGGGAGGUGUCUGUCCCACCCUAGUAGAGAAAAAGAGUGUUUUGUGGGAGAGAGGGGAAAGAGGAGAG
rnacentral:sRNA from 1 species